GCACUAGGGCCUGCCUUAAGGCCGUUUUCAGCAUCUGUUGGAGCAGCGCCCUUAGUGGUGAUCGGAGGAUGCGGCUGCUUAUUCCCUGUGAAAGUAGAUACCAGCGCAGACUAAGGAAAGAUAGUAUGAGCGUCGGAGAUGUUCUGUGGCGGCGCUAGUGCAGAUGGUUCAGUAGCCGUUGAGUUAGGGUUUCCCAAAAGCGAAGCCCUAGCGUAGUUGAAUUCCGGAAAGAGGGUUGCAUCGCUUGUUGUAUCAUCGGUGGAGGAUCGAUCCAACGGGUGAGUGGCUGGAG
rnacentral:lncRNA from 1 species